rnacentral:rRNA from 1 species
UGAGGAAUAUUGGUCAAUGGGCGCAAGCCUGAACCAGCCAUCCCGCGUGAAGGAUGAAGGUCCUAUGGAUUGUAAACUUCUUUUAUACACCAAGAAAAAGCAGGACGUGUCCUGCCCCGACGGUAGUGUAUGAAUAAGCAUCGGCUAACUCCGUGCCAGCAGCCGCGGUAAUACGGAGGAUGCAAGCGUUAUCCGGAUUCAUUGGGUUUAAAGGGUGCGUAGGCGGCUUUUUAAGUCAGUGGUGAAAUCCUGCCGCUUAACGGCAGAAUUGCCAUUGAUACUGAGAAGCCUGAGUACAAUUGAGGUAAGCGGAAUGUGUAGUGUAGCGGUGAAAUGCUUAGAUAUUACACAGAACACCAAUUGAGAAGGCAGCUUACUAAACUGUUACUGACGCUGAUGCACGAAAGCCAGGGGAGCAAACG